CUCCUUGAGAUGAGAAAAGUGUUCAAGGUAGGCUCUGCUCAAUGUGUUUUAUGAAUAGCCGCAGUAUCUUGACUGUGCUAAGGUAGCGUAGUAAUUUGCCCCAUAAUUGGGGGCUAGUAUGAAGGAGUUGAUGUCUUUGGGGCUUUCUUAACAAAAAUUCAUGAAAUUGAUAUCUGCGUCAAAAAGCGCAGCUUUUUAAAGGGACGAUAAGACCCUAUAAAACUUUUAACAUGUUUGGAGGAGGCACUAAUUGAGAUAAAUUUUAUCGCCUCCGCAGGUGUUGGGCUGGGGCGGCAAGUUCAUUAUCUGGACAAAAUAUAACAUUAUUUUUGAGGUUAAAGAUCUUUUUUAAAGAUAGAUAAGUUACUUUAGGGAUAACAGCACAAUUUUCUUGGAGAGAUCUUAUCGAUAAGAAAGACUUGUGACCUCGAUGUUGAAUUGGGGGGGCUCUCAGCUGAGCAGAAACACUAGAGAGGGGUCUGUUCGACCUUUAAUUCCCCACAUGAUCUGAGUUCAAACCG
rnacentral:rRNA from 1 species